GCUGGGUGUGGUGGUGCACACCUGUAGUCCCAGCUACUUGAGAGGCUGAGGUGGGAGGAUCGCUUGAGCCCAGGAGAUUGAGGCUGCAGUAAGCUGUGAUCACGCCACUGCACUCCCGCCUGGGUGACAGAGCCAGAUCCUGUCUCAA
rnacentral:sRNA from 1 species